rnacentral:rRNA from 1 species
UACGUAGGGGGCAAGCGUUGUCCGGAAUUAUUGGGCGUAAAGAGCUCGUAGGCGGUCUGUUGCGUCGGCUGUGAAAACCCGGGGCUCAACUCCGGGCCUGCAGCCGAUACGGGCAGACUAGAGUUCGGCAGGGGAGACUGGAAUUCCUGGUGUAGCGGUGAAAUGCGCAGAUAUCAGGAGGAACACCGGUGGUGAAGGCGGGUCUCUGGGCCGAUACUGACGCUGAGGAGCGAAAGCGUGGGGAGCGAACAGG